CGGGUGAGUAACGCGUGGGUAACCUGCCUUGUACAGGGGAUAACAGUUGGAAACGGCUGCUAAUACCGCAUAAGCGCACAGCAUCGCAUGAUGCAGUGUGAAAAACUCCGGUGGUAUAAGAUGGACCCGCGUUGGAUUAGCUAGUUGGUGAGGUAACGGCCCACCAAGGCGACGAUCCAUAGCCGACCUGAGAGGGUGACCGGCCACAUUGGGACUGAGACACGGCCCAA
rnacentral:rRNA from 1 species